rnacentral:rRNA from 1 species
UACGUAGGGUGCAAGCGUUGUCCGGAAUUAUUGGGCGUAAAGGGCUCGUAGGCGGUCCAUCGCGUCGGGAGUGAAAAGCUGGGGCUUAACCCCAGUCCUGCUUCCGAUACGGGUGGACUAGAGGUAGGUAGGGGAGAACGGAAUUCCUGGUGUAGCGGUGAAAUGCGUAGAUAUUGGGAAGAACACCUGAGGCGAAGGCGGGUUGCUGGGCUGACACUGACGCUGAGGCGCGAAAGCCAGGGGAGCAAACGGG